GGCGGGGGCGGCGCGGCGGCGCUCGGUCCCGCGGCUCCUCCUGCCGCCGCCUCCGCCGCGGCUCGGCCGCGCUGCGCCGCCCGGGGCUCGGCGUGUGCCCGCGGAGCACAGCGGUGCCCCGGGACCCCGUCCCCACCUGACCCCUCCAUACCGGGCGAGCCCCCCCCGCGCGCCGCCAGGCCUGCGGCCCGGCCCGGCCCCGGAGUGCGGGCCGGAGGCUCCGCGCCCCCGCCGCGGGCUCGGACUCGGGUGUGCGCGGCGAGGAGCGGUUUUUAGGGUGCGGGGACUCCGCUCUGGGGUGGACGCGGGCCGCGGGUCGCCCCGGCGCGGGGCGCGGCUGCCGGCGGGAAUUGCCGGGGACAACAAGGACAGCGGAAGGCAGCGGGGUGCCGUGCCGGGCCCCGGGUCCCCACGGAGAACACGGACGUCGCUCCGCGGGGGCCACUGGCACUCACGUAACAGCAGAACCGGGGCGGGGGGGUGGUGGUUCGCAUUUUGGGGAUUAUGGAAAAUUUGAAGUAAUUUGGCGUUGAAACCUAAGGCCUGUCUAAAGUUGUUUUCUCAUCCUUGUCAUGAAAGCUAAUAAGGAUUUUUUUUUAAUUUUUUUUUUAAGGAAGAGUUGUUGAUCCAUGAAAGACGCACCCUAAAGUUUUCGAGGCAUUAGAAAUUAAGAUGAGGAGUCCUUCCCCUUCUCCAGCAUAGAGUCCUUCCUGCAGGAGACAGUGCUGGAUUAACAUCUCCAGCAUGAGUUCAUCCCACAGGCAACAGUUCUGCACAAAAUGCUGCAAGAGGUGUUCCCACCAUUCCCGAUGGGCUCAGCCUUGGCCAGCAGUGGGUCCAUCCUGGAGUUGCCAUUGGCUCUGCUGGACAUGGAGGAAGCUUCCAACAGCUUCUCACAGAAGCCACUCCUGUAGCACCCCUGCUACCAAGACCUACCUGCAUAAGCCUAACAGACGAUGAUCCUGAGAACAGAAUGGGAGCAAUAAUACUUCAAAAAUUUAUUUUAUUUAUUUCCAUUAAGGUAAUGGUAAAACUUUUGUAGACUCAGCCCAGACCUGGGUUUCAGGAAGGGGUCCUAAAAUACUGACCUUCACAAGGUUUUCUGAGCUUGACCAUACAUGUGAUAUUAAUGUAAAAUAGUCUUUAGUAAAUAUUUUUGCCAGGAUGGAGGAGGCUAAGGGAAAGAACAGAGAAAGGUGAUGGUUAGUUCAUAAUCAACAGCAACGUAACUCUAGUAUAAAUAAGUAAAAAAUUGGAAAAAUUAUUUCCUUAUCCUUAUUUUUGAAUUUAAGACUGUGAAUUUCUUUGAAACAGUUUGGAACAUGUUUCCCGUAGAGAUUGUGAAGCCUCUGGAUUUGGAGAUACUAAAAACCCAGCUGGACACAGCCUUAAGCAACCUGCUCUAGGUCGCCCUGCUCUGAGCAGGAGAACUGGGGAAGACAAUCUGCAGAAACACCUUCCAGCUUGAACGAUUCUAUGAUUUCUAAGCCAGUUUUCCAACAAAUGUGAAGUGCAUAGAAAAUCUCAGUGAACAGCACAAUAUGCUCUAAGGUCUUUGGUUCCAAGGACGUUUUAUUCCAUUUUUUGUUCACAAAGGAAAUGGAAAUCCAGUGCAGGGCACAUUGCCCUCAAAGAUUCAGCAUAGCCAGUUGUCACGUUAUUGCAGAAAACUAUAAUGCCAUUAAAAGGCAAAUGGCUGGAUGUUUUUCAGUCUUCUUUGCAAACUUAUUUGCUAACUUCUUGACUGGCUGGCCAUUCAUCCUGCCUGUAUAUAACUGUUUCACGUUUACCCCCUUGUUCUUCACCACUCAGGAGCAAGAUACCAGCAUAUUUUGAAUAUUUUGUGUAAUUUUUGUCUUGAUGGAGCCAUUACCUCAAUGUUUUCCCAACCACUCUGGUUUCCAAUAGGCCACAGACACCCUGGUGUGAUCAGAAACAGGGUAACUCCCAUGGGUGCAGCUGCCAGGAAGGAAGCCGUGUUUGCAGCUGAUACUCACAGCCCUUUCUGCUCCCACAGCCAACAGAGGUAUCCAAGAGCAGAACACACUUGGAAACUGCAGAUACCAUAGGUGUGCUGGCACCGCUUUGGAACAACAUAAGUUAACUUACCUGCAGAAAUGUUUUUGUAACUUGCACUUUCUGGAAUUCAGUAAGCAAAGGGUAAAACUACAUUGUAAGCAAUAGGAUUUCUGACCUUCACUGGUGGUUAGGUUGUGUCAGAUUUGGUAUAUAAGAGAGAGAAUACAGCUUGUAUAUAAAAGUUUAUAGCUCCUUUGUUCUCAUUGAAUAGAGCUCUUGCAGUCCAACUCUAAUUUUACUUGUGAUCUACUGUUCCUUUGUAUUUUUCCCUAGAUUUUGGUGUCACUCAGAAGUAGGUACUGUGCUAUAUCUUUUUCCUCACAAAAGCAAAUGAAGUCUGGCUUUUGCUCAGUGUCCUCUUAAAGUCAUACUUGAAUGUAGCAGUCGUUGAGUUAGUUCUGGAGAUACCUGCUGCUAAUUUCAUACUUGGACAUUUAUUUAUCACAAUGACUAUUACAAUGUUAUGAUCAGGUUCCAGCUUGGUAAUCUUAAAAGGAGUUACUUUGUCGAGUCAUGAAAAAAUGGGUUACAGCUCCAAGUAAGUAUGGCUGAUGUUUUUAUCCAUCUUACUGAUAAUUUGCUUGUCAAUAAAUUAUAAAAAUUUGUAAUGAGCCAUUUUCAGUCACAGUUCCUUCCUUUUUAUCUUGUGUGUUAAUUAGAUCCUUUUCCAGGUACUGGCAACAUACUUAGCAAACACCAUUGUGCUGAAUAACACUCCCAGAUUUCUCAAGCUGUAGCUACUCUAUUGCCAAGCCCCAGGUUAUAGGAGAGGAACUUGAGUUUUGUCAGCUUUCUGGUGACUGGUUUGAAGGUCUUUCAGUAGGCAUGUGUUUGCUUCUUCAUCUGCGAAAUAGAUGAGUUAUUUUACCAUGCAGUUACCUGUUCAUGUUUUAGUAACCAUUUUUUGACCUUGACAAACCCCUCAGCUGGUGAUGAGGGUUCAUUGUGAGCUGGCUACGUCACUGUACAGUGAACAUGAGCCUGCUGAAGUUAUCUUUUACUGUUUUUCCUACGCAACCACAGAGAUGGAGGUUGGGGAGGAAAGAAAGUGAAGGGGGAUUGUUCUAAAUUUCUCCCAGAAUAGUUCUGUGUUAAUAUAUUCUCAAGGAAAUUCUGGAAUAAUUUUUCUGUCUUGUAGCUUCUAUUUAAAACUUUUCUAUAAAAAGGAAAUACUGCAAUUUUACCCAAGGAUCUAAUGUUCCAUAAUGUUCUCUUUUGAUUGUUAGUAAUGUUGCAAAUGCAGCAAUAUUUACCUGCAGUCAUUGGACUAAAAAGGAAGGAGUAAGGUUACCAAGAUUGCUCCUAGCAGUGGUAUAAAGGUCUACUUCAUGACUGUAGUAGCUGCUGACUUUCACACAUAGUGUGUUCAGGACAGUUACACUUAAAAGGAAUCCUUGUAAAAAUAUGUCCCAAAAUGAAGGAAGUAUGAGGGAUAAGCAGUCUUCCUAUUGAUAGUUUAAUCUGCAGGUCCAAAUAAUCCUGGAGACCUAAAAUUGAGUGCAACAAAGGAGAAGCUGUCAGCCCAAAGGUCUGUAAGACCUCAUAAGGUGUUUCUGGUCACUAAUCAGUAGGAAAUGUCUAGUGAGAAGUAGAAGUACAGGGAAAUGUAUAGUUAUGUGCUUUAAAAUGCACUCCUGCCUGCCUUUGUCAGCAGAGGAGGUAGCUGGUUCAUUUAUAACAAUAAAUCUCAAAAGGCUUGAGCCACUUCAGGAAGGGUGAUAUCAGCCAGUGCCCAUUUGUCUGAGUUGGGUAGUAAGCUGGUUGUCGUAUUAAAGUCAGUUCUUUUAAAAUAAUGGAGAAGAAAAUACGAGAUUUCUUUCAUAAGGAAUAAAAGGGUAGAAAUGUAACCAGUACCAGUAAGUGUGGCUUAGGGAAAAAUGAUCUUGGCAGACACACCAAACUUCAUCACUCGAGUAGGUGAGAAGCUUCAGCACAACAAAACAGUGUAGAUGGAGCAGACUUGGGUAAGGUGCUUCAUACUACGCAUACUCUCCCUUACUUUCAAUAUCAUGCAUUAUAUGGCUUAAAAGCUUAUAGACUGAGAGUUGUAAAGAAAUACAUAACACUGCAGAAAUAACCUAACAAUUGGAUUGUUCAAAGAGGUGGAAGCUGAGUUAUGGCCCAACAUUUCCAUCGUGGUCUAG